rnacentral:rRNA from 1 species
UAGGGAAUCUUCGGCAAUGGACGAAAGUCUGACCGAGCAACGCCGCGUGAGUGAAGAAGGUUUUCGGAUCGUAAAACUCUGUUGUUAGAGAAGAACAAGGACGUUAGUAACUGAACGUCCCCUGACGGUAUCUAACCAGAAAGCCACGGCUAACUACGUGCCAGCAGCCGCGGUAAUACGUAGGUGGCAAGCGUUGUCCGGAUUUAUUGGGCGUAAAGCGAGCGCAGGCGGUUUCUUAAGUCUGAUGUGAAAGCCCCCGGCUCAACCGGGGAGGGUCAUUGGAAACUGGGGGGCUUGAGUGCAGAAGAGGGGAGUGGAAUUCCAUGUGUAGCGGUGAAAUGCGUAGAUAUAUGGAGGAACACCAGUGGCGAAGGCGGCUCUCUGGUCUGUAACUGACGCUGAGGCUCGAAAGCGGGGGGAGCAAACAGG